rnacentral:misc_RNA from 1 species
GAUCAUUACUGAGUUUACGCUCUAUAACCCUUUGUGAACAUACCUAUAACUGUUGCUUCGGCGGGUAGGGUCUCCGCGACCCUCCCGGCCUCCCGCCCCCGGGCGGGUCGGCGCCCGCCGGAGGAUAACCAAACUCUGAUUUAACGACGUUUCUUCUGAGUGGUACAAGCAAAUAAUCAAAACUUUUAACAACGGAUCUCUUGGUUCUGGCAUCGAUGAAGAACGCAGCGAAAUGCGAUAAGUAAUGUGAAUUGCAGAAUUCAGUGAAUCAUCGAAUCUUUGAACGCACAUUGCGCCCGCCAUCAUUCUGGCGGGCAUGCCUGUUCGAGCGUCAUUUCAACCCUCAAGCUCUGCUUGGUGUUGGGGCCCUACAGCUGAUGUAGGCCCUCAAAGGUAGUGGCGGACCCUCCCGGAGCCUCCUUUGCGUAGUAACUUUACGUCUCGCACUGGGAUCCGGAGGGACUCUUGCCGUAAAACCCCCAAUUUUCCAAAGGUUGACCUCGGAUCAGGUAGGAAUACCCGCUGAACUUAAGCAUAUCAAUAAGCGGAGGAAAAGAAACCAACAGGGAUUGCCUCAGUAACGGCGAGUGAAGCGGCAACAGCUCAAAUUUGAAAUCUGGCCCUAGGCCCGAGUUGUAAUUUGCAGAGGAUGCUUUUGGUGCGGUGCCUUCCAAGUUCCCUAGAACGGGACGCCAGAGAGGGUGAGAGCCCCGUACAGUUGGACACCAAGCCUUUGUAAAGCUCCUUCGACGAGUCGAGUAGUUUGGGAAUGCUGCUCAAAAUGGGAGGUAUAUUUCUUCUAAAGCUAAAUACCGGCCAGAGACCGAUAGCGCACAAGUAGAGUGAUCGAAAGAUGAAAAGCACUUUGAAAAGAGGGUUAAACAGCACGUGAAAUUGUUAAAAGGGAAGCGCUUGUGACCAGACUUGCGUCCGGUGAAUCACCCAGCUCUCGCGGCUGGGGCACUUCGCCGGCUCAGGCCAGCAUCAGCUCGCUGUCGGGGACAAAAGCUUCAGGAACGUAGCUCUCUUCGGGGAGUGUUAUAGCCUGUUGCAUAAUACCCUUCGGCGG